GAUGAACGCUGGCGGCGUGCCUAAUACGUGCAAGUCGAGCGAACAGACGAGGAGCUUGCUCCCCUGACGUUAGCGGCGGACGGGUGAGUAACACGUGGAUAACCUACCUAUAAGACUGGGAUAACUUCGGGAAACCGGAGCUAAUACCGGAUAAUAUAUUGAACCGCAUGGUUCAAUAGUGAAAGACGGUUUUGCUGUCACUUAUAGAUGGAUCCGCGCCGCAUUAGCUAGUUGGUAAGGUACGGCUUACCAAGGCAACGAUGCGUAGCCGACCUGAGAGGGUGAUCGGCCACACUGGAACUGAGACACGGUCCAGACUCCUACGGGAGGCAGCAGUAGGGAAUCUUCCGCAAUGGGCGAAAGCCUGACGGAGCAACGCCGCGUGAGUGAUGAAGGUCUUCGGAUCGUAAAACUCUGUUAUUAGGGAAGAACAAAUGUGUAAGUAACUAUGCACGUCUUGACGGUACCUAAUCAGAAAGCCACGGCUAACUACGUG
rnacentral:rRNA from 1 species